rnacentral:lncRNA from 1 species
GAUAUUAAAUUAAAAAGUUAUCCAUUCAACUAUGUAGUAAGUGUUGGAGCAGGGAUUCCAAUCCAGGUCUGUCUCACUUCAAAGCCCCUGAUCUAAGAAGAACUGGAGCUGGAGACAAAAAAGCCAAGUCUGAAGUGCUGAAGAAAGAAAGCCACCACUACUUUUGCUCCAAUGACGAGUAGAGUUCAAAGUUCAAGAAGCCAGGGAAAGCAUUAUGGAGUCAUCAGAUGAAUGAAAUGACCUUACCAGCGCGGGCAUGACUUGCCGCUGGGUCUGCAAGUGCUGGGAGAAGUGCAGCCUGGAUUCAGCUGCAGCUGCGGGAAGGAAUUACAGCUGCCGAAGGAAAGAAGUGUCUGCACCUAGACUCUAGGACUACUGAGUCAGGGGAAAAGAGAGAACUCAUACCUGUCCUUAAGCGCCCGAGACCAGAAGUGACUUGUGUCACUUCCACCUGGAGUUCAUUGUCCAGAACUGGAAUUCAAUAGCCUCACCCUAACUACAAGAAAUGAAAGAGAAGUGUGCAUGGAAUCUUCAGAGAGUUCUACUGGAGAUGAGAAAACUGAGGUGCAAUGGGAUAAGAAACCUGCUCAAUGUCACAGAACUGGUAACUGACAAAAGCUAGACUGAAACCCAGGCUGCCUGGCCUCAGAGCCUAUCUUCUUGACCACAACACUGGUGUCACAGUUUACAUGAGAGAUCUACUGAGAUCCAUGUGGAAGAUCUACUGAGAUCCAGAGAGUGUCUCAUGGACUCUUCCUCCUGUUCCCAUUGUCUUCUCAAAGUGACUGCCUAUUCUGUUCGAGUAAAAGUGUUUUUUGUACUUUGAUACUUUGGAUGUUUAAUCUUUAACUUACUGAGGCCAGUCAACUAGUCCUCACUCCACUCCAUAAAAUAAAAGCCUGGCC